AGCAAAUACAGCCCCCAAACAGGCAGUUCUCAUGGGGUUGACCACAAAGAAAUCGUGCACCUUGCAUCCAGCUGCCUCCAUCACAGGAGACAUAAUAGGUUUGAUGGCCAAUUUUUAGCCCAAGACUGCCAUGGGGUGAGCAGCUCUGCUCCACCACGCGCCCCUUUAGUGAUGUGCUGCCUUACCACAGACCCAGAAACAGUGGAGCCAGGUGGCCACAGACUGAAACCUCUGACAUCAUGAACCAAAAUAAAUCUUUUCUCCUUUAA